GAUGUGCCCAGAUGGGAUUAGCUAGUAGGUGGGGUAAUGGCUCACCUAGGCGACGAUCCCUAGCUGGUCUGAGAGGAUGACCAGCCACACUGGAACUGAGACACGGUCCAGACUCCUACGGGAGGCAGCAGUGGGGAAUAUUGCACAAUGGGCGCAAGCCUGAUGCAGCCAUGCCGCGUGUAUGAAGAAGGCCUUCGGGUUGUAAAGUACUUUCAGCGGGGAGGAAGGGUUGCGGUUAAUAACCGCAGCAAAGAC
rnacentral:rRNA from 1 species